ACAUUUUCUAAGUGAUGAUAUAUUAGUAGGAAUCUCAUUGAGUAUCACUCUGUGUUAUUAUGAAAACAUAUUUUUUAACUGAUUAAAUUC